GACAGAGGUGCCGAGCGUUAGGCGGAAUCACUGGGCUUAAAGCGUGUGUAGGCGGAUUGGUAAGUACCUUGUGAAAUCCCACGGCUUAACCGUGGAACUGCUUGGUAUACUGCUUAUCUUGGGCCACUUAGGGGCUACCGGAACAAACGGUGGAGCGGUGAAAUGCGUAGAUAUACGGAGGAACACCUGCGGCGAAGGCGGGUAGCUGGGCCAACACUGACGCUGAUUCACGAAAGCUAGGGGAGCAAACGGG
rnacentral:rRNA from 1 species